rnacentral:rRNA from 1 species
CGAACGGGUGAGUAACGCGUGAGGAACCUGCCUCAAAGAGGGGGACAACAGUUGGAAACGGCCGCUAAUACCGCAUGACAUAUCCGGAUGGCAUCGUCUGGAUAUCAAAGGAGAAAUCCGCUGAAGGGUGGGCUCGCGUCCGAUUAGCUAGUUGGCAGGGUAACGGCCUACCAAGGCGACGAUCGGUAGCCGAACUGAGAGGUUGAUCGGCCGCAUUGGGACUGAGACACGGCCCAGACUCCUACGGGAGGCAGCAUG